AAAUCUGUGCUCUAGUGGGAGUGGCAGACAGGCCAAGGGAAGAACCUCAAUGGUGUCCACCGGGGUCCGUGUCAGCACGCCUGGACCAGGUCAGAUCAAUGGCCCCCACCAAUGCCUCAUUCUCCAGAGAGGUCCCUUCUCUCACUGAGGUGCCCCCAGAGCCCACCAGGAUCCAAACCAGCGAAACCCUGGACUCCUGAAGCGAGGCGCAUGAACUUAACCACUCGGCCACGGCCACGGGGCGGUUCCUGAACUAUCAUGUGUGAAAAGCAUUCCAGGUGAUCUUAUUUAGGAUCAAAGUCUUCGGCAUUUCCCCAAGGUCAAGAAGAAGUCGUUAUCAGAUAAGCUCCGAAGGAUCUCAACAGAUAUUGAUUCAGAUGGAAGGAUAAAUCUGGUCCCUGUUACUCAAUCUUGGCUGGAAAUAUCCCCUUCAGAGGUAAAGGAAAGUGUCAAGAAAGGGAAGGUGGCAACAAUGAUA
rnacentral:lncRNA from 1 species